UCCUACGGGGGGCAGCAGUGGGGGAUAUUGGACAAUGGGGGGAACCCUGAUCCAGCGACGCCGCGUGAGUGAAGAAGUAUUUCGGUAUGUAAAGCUCUGUCAGCAGGGAAGAAAGCAAUGACGGUACCUGACCAAGAAGCCCCGGCUAACUACGUGCCAGCAGCCGCGGUAAUACGUAGGGGGCAAGCGUUAUCCGGAAUUACUGGGUGUAAAGGGAGCGUAGACGGCUGUGCAAGUCAGAUGUGAAAACCCGGGGCUCAACUCCGGGAGUGCAUUUGAAACUGUCCAGCUAGAGUGCAGGAGAG
rnacentral:rRNA from 1 species